rnacentral:lncRNA from 1 species
AAAACUUUGUCGGGAGUAAAUGGGUCUAUCGGAUCAAGAGGAACCCAGAUGGCUCUGUUACUCAUUGUAAGGCCCGUCUUGUGGCAAAAGGGUUUCUUCAAUGACCCGGAAUUGACUUUACAGAAACUUUUAGCCCUGUGGUUAAACCAGCCACCAUUCGCCUUAUUCUAACUAUUGUCGUUACUCAUGGUUAGGUUUUGAAUCAAUUGGAUGUUAAUGAUGCAUUCUUACAAGGCACUCUAUUUGAGUGUGUUUACAUGCAGCAACCUCAAGGAUUUAUUGACACUCAAUAUCCUUCUCGUGUCUGCAAAUUACAUUAAGCAAUCUAUGGUCUUCCUCAAGCUCCUCAGGCAUGGUACAAUGAACUUCGCUCAUUUCUUAUUGCCUAUGGAUUUAUUAAUUCAAAGAAUGAUGCCUCUCUCUUUAUCUACAAUUCGGGAACUCGCACUAUGUACUUGCUUGUGUAUGUGGAUGACUUUAUACUCACCAGCAAUCAUCCUCCAACUCUUCAAGAUUUCACCAGUUAGCUAUCUAACAGGUUCUCUCUCAAAGAUCUUGGCAAACUUAGCUACUUCUUGGGUGUUGAAACAACUCAGACCUCCAAUGAUUUGGUCCUAUCUCAAAGAAAGUAUAUUCUAGAGCUUCUUCAACGAACUAAUAUGCAAGAGGCCAAAGAAGUUAGUAUCCCACUAUCUAUUUCAGAAACAUUCAAGCUUGAUGAUAGCUCACUUGAACAUGAUCCAACUGAAUAUCGUCAAAUGCUUGGCUCGCUUAUCUUUCUCUUACACAGCCUGAUGUUAGCUAUGCCGUUAACAAGUUGGCUCAGUUCAUGCAAAAACCAACCUCUAAUCAUUGGCUCACUGUUGAACGAGUUCUUCGCUAUCUCAAAGAAACCCUUCAUUAUGGUAUCUUCAUUUCCGCUCAAUCACUUCUUGUGCUUCAUGCCUUUGUCGAUGCCAACUGGGUUGGUGAUGUUGAUACACGUCACUCUUAGCUCCAAUCCUAUUAGUUGGAUCUCUAAGAAAUAAUCUACUAUAGCUUGCUGUUCAACCGAGGCCGAAUAUCGUGCCAUUGCUGCUGCUGCUGCUGAGGUGAAUUGGUUCACUAACUUGCUACGAGAAUUAGCUGUAUCAAUCCCAGCUCCAACAAUUUAUUGUGACAAUGUUAGUGCUACUUAUGCUCCAUCCCUGUUUUUCAUUCACACAUGAAACACAUUGUCAUUGACUUUCAUUUUGUACGUGAUCAAGUUUCUCGCAAGUUAUUUCACAUGUCCAUACUACAGACCAACUUGCUGACUCUCUUACUAAACCUCUAGCUCGGAAGCAGUUCCAAACUCAUCGGUCCAAGCUUAAUGUCCUUCCCGGACCGUUAAGCUCGCAAGAGGAUGAUAGAGCUCAAAAUUAGCAAAGUAUUUUAUUCUUUCUCUAAUUGUAAUCCUAUAAUAAUUCUCUCCUUAUUUAGCCAAUUUUGUUUCCUACUGUAUAGACAAGAUUGGUGGACUGACUCUACUAGAUUAAUGGGACUGAUUUCUCUUCCUGGUAUAUAUACUCGUAAUCAUCCCUGUCACUACAUAUUGGAAUAUUCAACCUCUUUAAUCGGGGACCUCUAGAAAAGACAGUAAUUAAGAUUUUGGGGGGAAUCUUCACACUGUUAUAGUGUUUUUCUAGGGUAUAGAAAAGACCUGGAUCUUUGUGUGUCCACCAGUUGUAUGGUGUAUUCAUCACAAAUUUUGCUUGUGGAAGUAGUCUUCGUUAAGUAUGAGCCAAAACACCUUUACAUUUGUGCCUUUUUUUUAGUUGGUUUUGUAUAUUUCCUCUUUUAUUCUCUUGUAUUCUGCUGCGUGAAUAGAUCGCUUUGGGUUGAUUAUGAUAGUUGUUAACCUUAGGCAUUCUGCUUAUUUAAUUUGUAAUUUUUUUCUGUUCAUAUUUUUCAAGAUUAAGAAAGAUUACUUGUUAUUUUUACUUCUGUAAUCCAAUGCUGAUAUGCUGCCUCGUGGUUCAAACUUCUAUCUUCUCGUGCUAAUUCAGUAAAAGAUUCCCAGCAAUCAGUAGCUUUUGGGAACUUAAAUGGAGACGUUGAUGAAGAAUGGUUACACAUUUCGCAAAUGAAUACGAGGUAAUUUCAUAAUGUGAUGGAUGCUGGAUGUAUCUUUUCUUAUGCUAUAAUGCUCAUUCAAUCAAUAGUUGAUUGAAAUCUUUUCAGUUAAGCAUUUUAGCCGAGGAAAAUCUGGAUUCGGGAUUAUUGUGCUUUUAGAAUUGCAAGGUAGAUUGUCGAAACAAGAGAGAGAACUGUAGAAAGCUUACUGCUGUAUAACCUCCUUAUGUGCUGUAGGGAUCUUGCCUUUUGUUUACAAAUUUGAAACUAGAUCAGUGAUCUUGGAGUUUUAGUAAAUUAAGUUUUUUUCUCACACCUCUAAGGAAAAGUAAGACCCAAAGCCCUGCUUGCAAAAAAAGGCCGGAGAGGGGAAAGUGAGGCUGUUGACCAGCUUAUUGCGCUUUGUUGCAAAAUUUUUCACAUAAUCACUAUUCCAUAUGGGGCCUGACAUUAUUGGGCUACAAUUUUUUACACGCCAUGAUUUCUUCGUGUUAUGCUUUUGCUUUUCAUGCUAAUUACCUCUUUUUGUUUGUUAAAAAAAUGAAGAGUUCGAGUUCUAUUUUCUUUGUACUUAGUGUGUUUUUCAUUCAAAUGUCCUUUUGUAUUUUCCUUGUGUUUGUCCCGGAAUCCUCGUAAACCUGGAUAUCAAAAAUCGUUGAAUCCUUAUAUAGAUGUAUUUCCAUGAUAUAUUUAUGUGUGACUCGAAAUAUGAAUUGUAUGUCUGUUGGGGAUUGAUUAAAAAUCGAAUGAAAAAGAAGGAAUAUCGAAUGCUCGAAAUUAUACGUAAUAUAGUGCUAUUGCACUUUUUUAUGAUUGUAGAAGAGAAGAUAUUAUAUUGUAAAUUUUUGUGACUUCGAUACUUUUAAUGGCUUGAGUUACAUGGGUAUUUAUAGAUAAGAUUUAACAUGUAUCUAGUCUAACUCAUGAACCAACAUUGAAUAGAUACGUUUCUCCUCCUCUAGUACAUUAAUGGACAAAUGCAUGUAUAAUUAUAAUUCAUGAAUCUAGAUAAUAAAUGCAAAUUACGUUUCUAACACCCCCUCUUAAUUUGCAAUUUUGAGAAUGUCUCUUGCCUUUUGAAAUUUCUCGACAUAGAUCACCUUGGUUAGAAAGUCUGCGGGUUGCUCAUCCGUUCCAAUGAAUUCCAAGCUGAUUUCACCAUUACUCACCAUAUCUCGGAUGAAAUGAUGUCGCAACUCAAUGUGUUUAGUUCUCGAAUGAAACAUCGGAUUUUUUGUCAUGGCUAUCGUAGACAUAUUGUCACAAUAAAUUACUGUGGGCUAUUUUUGAACUUGUUUCAAAUCUGCUAGUAAUCGUCUCAACCAAAUAGCUUCGCAAGUUGCAUCUGUAACAGCAAUAUACUCAGCUUCCGCGGAUGAUAACGCUACUGUUUUUUGCUUCUUUGAACUCCAUGAAACAACAUUAGUUCCGAGACAAAAUAAAUAACCUGAAGUAUUUUUUCUAUCAUCCAACGAACCUCCUCAAUCACUGUCGCUAUAUCCAAUCAACUUGCUCUCAUUUUCUUUUACAUAUUUGAUGCCUAUUUUCUUUGUUCCUUGCAAGUAUCUCACGACUCUUUUAGCUGCUGCAAAAUGAAGUUGACUUGGUUCAUUCAUGAACCUUGAGAUCAUGCUCACGGCUUGAACAAUAUCCGGCCUUGUGUUUGUGAGAUAAAUUAGUGAACCAACAAGACUCCUAAACAGUUUUGCAUCUAUUUUUUUGCUCCGUCAUCUUUUCUCAACUUAUCAUUCGCUGCCAUAGGAGUUGAAAUUGAUUUGCAAUUCUCCAUAUGAAAUUUCUUCAGAAGAUCUUCUGUGUAUUUCUCUUGAGAAAUAAAGAUUUCUCCUUUGGACUGCUUCACUUGUAUUCCAAGAAAAUACUUCAUGACUCCUAAAUCAGUCAUCUCAAAUUCAUUCAUCAUUUUUUGCUUGAAAUCCUCGACUAACCUUAUAUUGGUGCCAGUGUAGAUAAGAUCAUCUACGUAGAUGCACACAAUCAAGAAAUCAUGAUCUUGCUUCUUCACAUAGAGAGAGGGCUCAUUAGGACUUCGAUGAAAUCCAUUCUUGAGAAAAUAGCCAUCAAUCUUGCUAUUCCAAGUUCUUGAAGCUUGCUUCAGUCCGUAAAGUGCUUUCUUGAGGCGAUACACUUUAUCUUCUUUCCCUUUCACUCCAAAUCCUUUAGGUUGUUGUACAUAAACUUCUUCUUCAAGCUCUCCAUUAAGGAAAGCUGAUUUGACAUCGAGUUGGAAUACCUGAAGCUCCAAUUGCGCUGCAAGAGCAAGAACAACCCUAAUAGUUUCCAUUCUAACAACCGGUGAGAACGUCUCACUGAAAUCAAUUCCUGGUUGUUGAGAAUAUCCCUUCGCUACAAGCCUAGCCUUGUGUUUUUGUAUGCUUCCAUCUUCAUUAUACUUUGUUUUGAAAAUUCAUUUCAGUCCUAUAACAUCUUUGUGUUUCGGCAUAUCCACCAAUUCCCAAGUUUUAUUUUUUUCUAUCAUGGCAAUCUCCUCUUGCAUAGCUUUUCUCCAUGUUUCUUCCUUCACUGCGACUUCAAAACUUUGAGGAUCACAGGUAAAGAGAGCAAAUUCAGAUGUCUCAAGAAUUUCUCUCAAGGAUCGAGUCUUUUUAAUCGGUGAAUCGGAACUUGAACUUUCAUCUCGAACCGGCGAUCUUGGUGGGCGAGGAUUUGGACUUUGAGGUGGACUAACAUGACCGAGUUGAUCUUCAAAAUCUGAUGCAUCAUAGAACUCCUCUUGAGAUAUCAAUUUGGACGAAUUUCCUUCCCAACUCCAUGAUCCCAUUUCAUCAAAAAUAACAUCUCUUGAANGGAACUUGGUUAGGAGUAUAGGAAAACAUGGAUGUAGAAACAUGAUUUGCUGCCAUGCUUUGGAGAGGGGAAAUAAAAUCUGAGACACGUAUAGAGAACUAAGCUCUGAUAACAAAAAUUUGUUGGGGAUUGAUUAAAAACCGAAUGAAAAAGAAGGAAUAUCGAAUGCUUGAAAUUAUACGUAAUAUAGUGUUGCUGCACUUUUUUAUGAUUGUAGAAGAGAAGAUAUUAUAUUGUAAAUUUUUGUGAUUUCGAUACUUUUAAUGGCUUGAGUUACAUGGGUAUUUAUAGAUAAGAUUUAACAUGUAUCUAGCCUAACUCAUGAACCAACAUUGAAUAGAUACGUUUCUCCUCCUCUAGUACAUUAAUGAACAAAUGCAUGUAUAAUUAUAAUUCAUGAAUCUAGAUAAUAAUUGCAAAUUACGUUUCCAACAAUGUCAUUGGAAUUGAAAUUGCAUUUACUUUGGUUAUAUUGCAGUCUUUGACUUUUCUGGAAUACUUGUAUUCCAAUUUUCCUAUCUUGCAGAAUGGCAUCAUUUAGAAACAAAUCAAUUGAUAAAUGGCAGAGGAAGACACAAGUCACAACUGCUAUUAAAGGCAAAUUGCACGCCUUUAAUCAGGUUAUACU